rnacentral:rRNA from 1 species
AUGCAAACCUUGAAAUUUGGAUAUAGAUGGAAAAUAGGGACAUGAGACAAGAUUAGGUUUUGGGAAGAUACUUGGUUUGGCACCUCCCCCCUAGCAGUACAAUUCUGGCACAUCUACAUGAUUUGCAAUGAGCAAAACAAAAGUGUGAGAGAUGUCUGGGAUGGUGAAACACUGAAGUUGAUUUUUAGGAGGAACUUUGACAGUAAGAUGAUGGAACAAUGGUACCAGCUAGUGGAGAUUGCUAAAGAAAUCACCUUCGAUGGUGACUCUGAUGCUCUGAUCUGGCAACUUGAGAAUAAGGGUGUCUACUCCUCUAGUUCUUUGUACCAUGUGAUUAACUUUAGAAGGGUUCAACCCCUGUUCCUGCCAGCCAGGAAUAUUUGGUCGUUUGUCAAUCUCUUUUUCCAAAAGAAUUUGGGUGCAAACUUUGAAACUGUGGCCCAAUUUUAG